CUAAUCCCCUGUUCCUGGCUGCUUCUUUUUCUCUCUGGGCACGUUGUUCAUUCCUCUUCCUAAAAUGGCUUCUUCUCCUUUAGUUGUUGCAAUUAUAGGAGAGGAGAAUCCAUUUUAGGAAGGGAAUGAAUACUGUGUCGGUUUUAUGAGGGAGACAAUCUGACAAAAUUAUAACAUGGUUGUUGUCCAUUCUUGAAAUUUGACACCAACUAUUUCAGUAAUAAUUUGCUUGUUAUGACCGAGUUUGGCUAUUUGAGAUUCAAGUUGUUAGGGAGAUAUGUAUGGAAUGCAUUGAGCUGUAGCCUAUAGAAACAGGAAACUAGAUGCGGAUGAUUUGCAAGGCCUUGCAAAACCCAAUGUCAUUGAAUUUACGCUUUUAGAUGCAAGGAAAUAUGACAAAGCAGUUGUGUUCUGUUAGCCUAUGAUCAAUAGCACAAUCCAAGAUCUUAAGCCUAGUGCAGAGGAGCCCUUGUUCCCCAAUUAUGGAUGCGAGUGAGAAUCCAGUUGAGUCAGCUUAUUUCUGAUAACAAAUCAAAUUAUAACCUGUAAAGAAUAUGUCGCCAAAUCUUGAACACCUGCAUUUUGCAUGUUGUUUUGGUUUGUGCUUCACCAGAAAAUGGUUGGUUGCCUUGUGCUGGAUCUGGUUCCCACGAACUUAGGCCAACUCCAAGUUCCUGGUAGAUGGAUCUCGUGCUUUUAUUUUUAUGGUUACUCAAUCUAUUGUUUAUUUUAA